rnacentral:lncRNA from 10 species
UAGACCAAAGCAAUAUACUUCUUAGAUAUAUUGAUUGAUGUCUCAUGUUUCUCUGAAAUGUAUAAAACCAAGCUGUGCCCUGACCACCUUGGGCACAUGUCAUCAUGACCCUGAGGCUGUGUCACAAGUGUGUUCUCAACCUUGGCAAAAUAAACUUUCUAAAUUAACUGAGACCUUCAUUUGAGUGUGCUGCUGGACACCCUCAUUGUGUUCGUUGGCCUGUGUUUCUCUGUUAAUGCCUAUCACGAAUCGCUUGGGUUUCUCCAUCUUGCUGGUAGUGAACUGAUGUCCGGAAGUUUGAUGGCCGAAGAGUAUACCGUUGUGCAUAUAUCCUUCAAUUCCUGAUUUUAUCAUCUGUAGAAAGACAAGACAAAUGGCCACUCUGACCAGCGUGUGAUGGCACCGGUACCUCAUCUCUGAUGAUUGGUGAUGUUGAGCAUUCCCCACGCCUGUUGGAAUGGCAAUCCCUUGGAAAUGUCUUCUCAAUAGUUACUACCCAUAGAGAACAGACCCUCCCAGUCUUCAGUGCACUCUAAAUACUUGCUAAUUCUGGCCAAUGGAAGGCAUCUGUGGAAGAAAAAAGCCUCAGAUCAUGUGCUAUCUGUCUUUAUUCAGUGUGACAUAUUAGGUUGUUUUCUUGGAUAAGAACUAGACGAAGAGAAAGGGAGAUUAGUGAUAAAUGUCCAGGUUUUCAAGUUGAAAAGUAACAAUCAGUGUAUUACAACAGAUGGAUGUGAUGUCAAAUUACAAAUGCUGAAAAUGUUAUAUGUAAUCAUGUAGCCAGA